AGCGCCUCUCCUUGGGCUCCUUGGUUAAGUUUCAAGAAACCUGGACGCCCAUUGAAGGCUGGAGAUACUGAGGUUUCCGGAUGACAUGGGGGAACACUUCUGGCUGUUGUGCAUUCUUUGCUGCCACUCCAAACUAAUUCUUCAAUAGGGAAUCAUAUCACAAUAAUGAAGAUAAUUAUUAGCUUCCCAGACUACUGGAUCAC